UCAAAACUGAAUCUGCCAACUUAUGUGCACUGGUACGUGAUGUUUUCCAAUUCACACACAGGAAAGUGCCCACUACAAGUGGCAGUUUAAUAGUUCAAAUUAUAUUGUUGUAUGUGUCUCUCCUGUCCUUUCUACGUUCAGAUUUGUUCUACCAAAUGAUUUGCUUUCAUUCGGUAUAAAUGCACUCGCUAGAUAUUUUGACAGCUGUUUGGUUCUCAAAAUUCAUCUACAAAUCUACAUCCAAGACUUUUCAUUCUGCAAGCUAACGCUGCAUAAUUAACUAAUAACUGUGUACACCUAAUUGGCUCAUCGUACAUUAUGCAGGACAAUGCGCAGCAAACAGAAAAUAUAACAGUGGCAAAGAGCUAUUCCAUCAUACGAGAAAAUACUACCAGGAUAUUGGAUGAUCAUUGAGGAAUCAACAAAUCGAGUGUGGAUGUAAAAGAUAUUGUGUAUCGGCUUAUCCACAUUAAAGAACUAAGAAGACACAAAUGAGAGUGAAGGAAGCGCCUCAGGGGGUGAGGAUGUGGCGACUGGCGAGAGUAUUGGAGGAAAUGUACAGCUUGCCUCCCACAUUCAAACCUCCGGAGGCUGCAUCCACCAAGAAAGUUAAAAGAAUUUUAAUAUAAGCACUUCUCCCAAGCUCCCAAGGUUGCAUUUCAGUACUGUGAUGUGCGGUGGAGAGGGGCAAUGGCGAGAGGAUUUGGUCGAGAGAGAGAAAGAGAAUGAUAUAGAUGGUGAGAUUGAAUGCAGCUUCCAGUGACGUUGAAAUUGAAAGUCACCGCUGGACUUUGGCGACAUCUCGGCCAUCCAAAGCCAAUCCAACGGACAGGAGUUGAGCAAUAAAAAAUUCCCCCAUCCUUAGACGUUUCCAGCCUGAAACUGUAUUUAAUCACAAACCGUAUGUUUGAAUUCACUAAAACUUCCCAAGAAUGCAUAAUGCAAAUUAUAUGAUUUUCUGAAUUUA